rnacentral:tRNA from 1 species
CCCCUGGUGACCCAGUAGUUAAGGGUUCAGCAUUUUCAGUGCUGUGGUGCAGGUUUGAUCCUAGCCCAGGAAC